rnacentral:rRNA from 1 species
UCCGUAGGUGACCUGCGGAAGGAUCAUUACAGUAGUCACCCGGGUUGCCGCAAGGCCUCUCGGGUAACCUACCACCCUUUGUUUAUUACACUUUGUUGCUUUGGCAGGCCUGCCUUCGGGCUGCUGGCUCCGGCCGGCGAGCGCUUGCCAGAGGAUCUAAACUCUGUUUGUCUAUACUGUCUGAGUACUAUAUAAUAGUUAAAACUUUCAACAACGGAUCUCUUGGUUCUGGCAUCGAUGAAGAACGCAGCGAAAUGCGAUAAGUAAUGUGAAUUGCAGAAUUCAGUGAAUCAUCGAAUCUUUGAACGCACAUUGCGCCCCCUGGUAUUCCGGGGGGCAUGCCUGUCCGAGCGUCAUUACAACCCUCAAGCUCUGCUUGGUGUUGGGCCCCGCCGCCCCGGCGGGCCCUAAAGUCAGUGGCGGUGCCAUCCGGCUCCGAGCGUAGUAAUUCUUCUCGCUCUGGAGGCCCGGUUGUGUGCUUGCCAUCAACCCCCAAUUUUUUCAGGUUGACCUCGGAUCAGGUAGGGAUACCCGCUGAACUUAAGCAUAUCAAUAAGCGGAGGAAAAGAAACCAACAGGGAUUACCUCAGUAACGGCGAGUGAAGCGGUAACAGCUCAAAUUUGAAAUCUGGCCUCACGGUCCGAGUUGUAAUUUGUAGAGGAUGCUUCGAGCAUGGUCUGGCCUAAGUUCCUUGGAACAGGACGUCAUAGAGGGUGAGAAUCCCGUAUGCGGCCAGGUGCCUACGCUCAUGUGAAGCUCCUUCGACGGGUCGAGUUGUUGGGAGUGCAGCUCAAAAUGGGUGGUAAAUUUCAUCUAAAGCUAAU